AUUGAACGCUGGCGGCAUGCCUUACACAUGCAAGUCGAACGGCAGCACGGGGCAACCUGGUGGCGAGUGGCGAACGGGUGAGUAAUGCAUCGGAACGUACCUUUCAGUGGGGGAUAACGUAGCGAAAGUUACGCUAAUACCGCAUAUUCUGUGAGCAGGAAAGCAGGGGAUCGCAAGACCUUGCGCUGAUUGAGCGGCCGAUGUCAGAUUAACUAGUUGGUGAGGUAAAGGCUCACCAAGGCGACGAUCUGUAGCGGGUCUGAGAGGAUGAUCCGCCACACUGGAACUGAGACACGGUCCAGACUCCUACGGGAGGCAGCAGUGGGGAAUUUUGGACAAUGGGGGCAACCCUGAUCCAGCCAUGCCGCGUGAGUGAAGAAGGCCUUCGGGUUGUAAAGCUCUUUCGGCCGGGAAGAAAUCGCACGGGCUAAUACCCUGUGUGGAUGACGGUACCGGAAUAAGAAGCACCGGCUAACUACGUGCCAGCCGCCGCAGUAACAC
rnacentral:rRNA from 1 species